rnacentral:rRNA from 1 species
AGUGGCGGACGGGUGAGUAACGCGUGAGAAUCUGCCUUGGGGUCGGGGACAACCACUGGAAACGGUGGCUAAUACCGGAUACGCCUUCGGGUAAAAGAUUUAUUGCCCUAAGAGGAGCUCGCGUCUGAUUAGCUAGUUGGUGAGGUAAGAGCUCACCAAGGCAGCGAUCAGUAGCUGGUCUGAGAGGACGAUCAGCCACACUGGGACUGAGACACGGCCCAGACUCCUACGGGAGGCAGCAGUGGGGAAUUUUCCGCAAUGGGCGAAAGCCUGACGGAGCAAGACCGCGUGAGGGAGGAAGGCUCUUGGGUUGUAAACCUCUUUUCUCAGGGAAGAAGCUCUGACGGUACCUGAGGAAUCAGCCUCGGCUAACUCCGUGCCAGCAGCCGCGGUAAUACGGAGGAGGCAAGCGUUAUCCGGAAUUAUUGGGCGUAAAGCGUCCGCAGGUGGCAAUUCAAGUCUGCUGUCAAAGCACGGGGCUUAACUCCGUAAAGGCAGUGGAAACUGAAUAGCUAGAGUGCCGUAGGGGUAGAGGGAAUUCCCGGUGUAGCGGUGAAAUGCGUAGAGAUCGGGAAGAACAUCGGUGGCGAAAGCGCUCUACUGGACGGCAACUGACACUCAGGGACGAAAGCUAGGGGAGCGAAUGGGAUUAGAUACCCC